rnacentral:rRNA from 1 species
CCAAUAGCGUAUAUUAAGGUUGCUGCGGUUAAAAAGCUCGUAGUUGAAUUUCGGGAUUGAUGCAUCGGUCGUGCCUUAAGGGGUAUGAACUGGUGUGGUCAAUUUCUUACCUUCUGGUGAAUUGUGAUGUCCUCCUCAAUUGGGUGUUUCAAUGAACUAGGACUUUUUACUUUGAAAAAAUUAGAGUGUUUAAAGCAGGCAUUAUUUGCUUGAAUACAUUAGCAUGGAAUAAUAAAAUAGGACAAUGAUUCUAUUUUGUUGGUUUCUAGGAUCACUGUAAUGAUUAAUAGGGAUAGUUGGGGGCAUUAGUAUUCAAUUGUCAGAGGUGAAAUUCUUGGAUUCAUUGAAGACUAACUACUGCGAAAGCAUUUGCCAAGGAUAUUUUCAUUAAUCAAGAACGAAAGUUAGGGGAUCGAAGACGAUUAGGUACGUCGUAGUCUUAACCAUAAACUAUGCCGACUAGGAAUCAGACAACGUUAAAUUUUUAAUGACUUGUUUGGCACCUUACG